AGUUUUUAAAAGGCUUUAUUGAAUUUGUUACAGCAUUGCUUGUGUUUUAUGUUUUGUUUUUUUUUUUUGGCUGUGAGGCAUGUGGGAUCUUAACUCCCCACCUGGGAUGGAACCAGGACCCCCUGCAUUGGAAGGCUAUUGAUUCAUCCAAGGUUAUCCAAUCUAAUGAACAUCAGAGACAGAAUGGGAAUGAUUGCCAAAGACUACUCCUGCAAAGGAAGCGAUGUGGGGUUUCUACAAACAUACACUUGAUAAGAAACAGCAGCAACUGGGGUGCAUAUAUUUCCUCCUGGGCCUGGCAGGCUGGGAGCAGAACACAGACAAAGGCAUUGAGGCACGUGGGCCUGUGAUGGCCUGGAUUUCGCCUCCCGGAUGGUAAUGAAAUGAAUGUGAAGGGACUGAAGUGAUCGUCCCAGAACUGAGAGACGGUGUGGAAGCAACACAAGUGUUGAUCAGGGCGCAGGUGCAGGA